GGGGGAAUUUUGGACAAUGGGGGCAACCCUGAUCCAGCAAUGCCGCGUGCAGGAAGAAGGCCUUCGGGUUGUAAACUGCUUUUGUACGGAACGAAAAGGCUCUGGUUAAUACCUGGGGCACAUGACGGUACCGUAAGAAUAAGCACCGGCUAACUCUGUGCCAGCAGCCGCGGUAAUACAGAGGGUGCGAGCGUUGUCCGGAAUCACUGGGCGUAAAGGGCGCGUAGGUGGCUGUGUAAGUCGGGGGUGAAAUGCUGCGGCUCAACCGCAGCGCUGCCUUCGAGACUGCAUGGCUCGAGCACGGUAGAGGCCGAUGGAAUUCCCGGUGUAGCGGUGGAAUGCGUAGAGAUCGGGAAGAACACCAAUGGCGAAGGCAGUCGGCUGGGCCGUUGCUGACACUGAGGCGCGACAGCGUGGGGAGCAAA
rnacentral:rRNA from 1 species